CUCCUGCUCCUGCUCCUCCUGCUCCUCCUCCUCCUCCUCCUCCAGGUGAACAACGUUGGCAUCUGAGCACAAGGAUGAGGAUGUUGUAGUAGAUCCGUUGUUUCCUUCAGCACCAUGAACAUCAACCUGCUGUCAUCUUACCA